rnacentral:rRNA from 1 species
UACAGAGGUGGCAAGCGUUGUUCGGAAUUACUGGGCGUAAAGGGCGCGUAGGCGGUCUUUUAAGUCUUGUGUGAAAUCCCUCGGCUCAACUGAGGAACUGCACGGGAUACUGGAAGACUUGAGUUCGGGAGAGGGAAGCGGAAUUCCGGGUGUAGCGGUGAAAUGCGUAGAUAUCCGGAGGAACACCGGUGGCGAAGGCGGCUUCCUGGACCGAUUACUGACGCUGAGGCGCGAAAGCCAGGGGAGCAAACGGG